UCCAGAGCAAAUUGACGUACUUCUCAAUUUCUUGGACGAGCAUAGGGAUCUUGCUCGUGGAAGAUUGAGGGGUGCCGAUGGCAAUGUCCAAGCUAAGAGUCUGUGGGAAGAAUUGUGCAAUUCACUCAAUUCUAUGGGUGGUUGUACAAAAACAAUCCAGCAGUGGCAAAAACCUCACAACCUGCACAAUCUAGAAGGAGACAAUCGGCUACUGGCUCAGAUGUCAGGAGGAGAUUGUUUCAAUUGGAAGAAGAGCGUGCAGGCAUCAGGGUUGCCCUGGAAGAGCUGUG